ensembl:snoRNA
GGUCAGUUGGGUGGGUGGACUAAGCAGAGGAUGGCAAGAGGGCCUCUAAAAAUCCUCUCCUCCAGCAGCCCAUUUGCUUCCCUCCCGUCACAUUUAAGUCAUGUGUACGGGGUAAUGGAGCAGCUGACAACAUGGGAUUCUGUCAGUGUGUGUUUCUGAAGAGUCAGCAGUGCACAGCAGACCAGUAUCCAACAAAACCAGCUACACAGGAGCGUGAUGAGCGGCAGCCAUGGGUGUGACGGUGCAUGAUCUCAAGUUUUCAAUCUGAGACC